rnacentral:rRNA from 1 species
GAUGAACGCUGGCGGCGUGCCUAAUACAUGCAAGUCGAGCGAACAGAUGAGGAGCUUGCUCCUCUGACGUUAGCGGCGGACGGGUGAGUAACACGUGGAUAACCUCCCUAUAAGACUGGGAUAACUUCGGGAACCCGGAGCUACUACCGGCUAAUAUCUUGAACCGCAUGGUUCAAUAGUGAAAGACGGUUUUGCUGUCACUUAUAGAUGGAUCCGCGCCGCAUUAGCUAGUUGGUAGGGUAACGGCUUACCAAGGCAACGAUGCGUAGCCGACCUGAGAGGGGGACCGGCCACACUGGAACUGAGACACGGUCCAGACUCCUACGGGAGGCAGCAGUAGGGAAUUUUGGGCAAUGGGCGAAAGCCUGACGGAGCAACGCCGCGUGAGUGAUGAAGGUCUUCGGAUCGUAAAACUCUGUUAUUAGGGAAGAACAAAUGUGUAAGUAAAUAUGCACGUCUUGACGGUACCUAAUCAGAAAGCCACGGCUAACUACGUG